rnacentral:misc_RNA from 1 species
ACACAUUCCAUUGAUAUUUUAUUAUGCAAGUAGAUAUAACAAAGCACAUGAUUAUAUAACGCUUACAAUCUGCAGAGAGAUGGCACACAUUCCAUUGAUUUUUAUUUGCAUGGUUAGACAACACAAUGGCAAUCGAUAGUUAGCUUAAUCCCAGUUGAAGUCACUACAUGAAUUUGUCUCCUACAUUCUUCCGGCCCACAUUGUCCAUGAGAUGUUUAAAGUCGAAUCUUUUCCUACAAACUUCAGCCCAAGUACCCAACUCAUUUUCAUUAUCCCCUCCAGUUUAGCACUUAAAACUUAAAAUUUACUACUUUUAAUUCAUUUGAAUUGUUACCGUAAUUGCAGUUAGAACUUAAAGAUAAUUUGAUAAAUAACAAAUAUAAAUAGAGUGCUAUCAGACACUGCUGUAAUAGCAAUAGUGCCACAUUCAAUCAAAAGAAUAAAAAUUUGAACAUCUCAUUCGACUACUCUUAAAUAUCAUAUUCUGGGAAAGAAACUAUUCACAUUGAUUUCUUUAACCAAACUUCAAUCCCGAUGAUGCUUACAGCAAACAUGAACUUCAAAAGGCUUAAACUCACGUUUCCAUGCUUUUCCCUUUUGUGUUGUCAACACAUGUAAUAUGUCUGUAUUAUAUAUUCUGUGUGUCCCGCAAUCAAACUAGGGUUUUAUGGUGAAAAUUAAUCAAAAACCUAAUUAAUAAUUAGACUUACUGUGUGGUUAAUUCAAUAAGAAAGCAUAACUUAAAAACAUGAAUACCAUUUCAUAGCAGCCAAAAUGGGAUCGCAAUCACCCUUAGAAACUUUACACACACACUGUAUCAAACUUUUCAUAGGAGAAUCUGUGCAAAUAGACUUUUAAGUAACUGGUGAAAAAAGCAUUCAUACAGAUAUUCACUGCAUUUAAAAACUAAAUACCCUAAUGAAACAAACAAAUUCCAGAACCACUUGUCAUAAUAGCUUGGCAAGACAUAAUUGAACAGGCUAAUCGAGUAUUAGCUGUGCAUGUCUAACAGAGUUGAAUUAAUUUGAGUCUCCUUCACAAGAAAACUGCAACUUAAAAUUUCUCAAUUACAGAAGUCAAGAAAAAGGGUGGUGAAAAAAGAAUAAAAAAUAGCAAUGCCAAUGAAAAAUCCUUCACAUAAAAAUUAUUCAAGUUGAAGUAUUGGAUAGUUUGAGCACCAGGUGAACUUUGUCAUUUUUUGAUCCAGCAGAUUUGCGUCUUCCUCCACCUU